UCUCAGGAUUUGUAACACGGGAAUCCAUUCUCAAUAUACAGGAUUCUGAAGACUAUCCAUCUUCAAGAUCACCGUCAUUUUCUAUCGUUUCAGAGUUACCUACCAAUGAUAGUGUUUCAGUCACAUCCUGUAUAUCACAUAGCCUCAGUAUAUCACUUGUAGCACAAAAAAAAAAAAAAAAAAACACACCACACUCCAUCAUCCAGAAACAACCACAGAUAAGUUUGUCAUAAGAACCAGCAUAUUACAAAAAGGAGUAAUUGAUUAAAAAAUUGCCCGCUUUGUUUAUGCAACAAACUCUCCUUUCCAUAUGAUUGAGAGCCUACACUUCAUUAACAUCGUUCAGUCAUUACGACCAGGAUACAGUCCACUCAACAGAGCAGAUGUCGCAGGCAAAUUGCUGGAUAAAGUGUAUG